rnacentral:tRNA from 1 species
GAAGAAAUAGCUUAAUGGUAGAGCAUUCACCUCGCAUGUGCAAGGCCCUAGGUUCAAACCCCAUUAUCACCU